rnacentral:rRNA from 1 species
CGUCUAUAUACGUAUAGCAUAUCAAUAAGCGGAGGAAAAGAAACUAACUAAGGAUUCCCUCAGUAACGGCGAGUGAAGCGGGAAGAGCUCAAAUUUGAAAUCUUCAAGGUUUUACCUUGACGAAUUGUAGUUUAAAGAAGUGUUUUCUGUUGGAGUUUUGGUAAAAGUUCUUUGGAAUAGGACAUCAUAGAGGGUGAGAAUCCCGUAUUUGACCAUUAUUUCAGCUGUGUGAUACACUUUCAAAGAGUCGGAUUGUUUGGGAAUGCAGUCCAAAAUGGGUGGUAAAUUUCAUCUAAAGCUAAAUAUUGGCGAGAGACCGAUAGCGAACAAGUACCGUGAGGGAAAGAUGAAAAGAACUUUGAAAAGAGAGUUAAACAGUACGUGAAAUUGUCAAAAGGGAAGCGUUUGACACCAGUGUUGUUUUCCUGAAAAUCAAUUACAAUUUAAUUUUUGAGGAGUUAUGACUUCAUCGGCUUGCUCCUUUCUUUAUGAAACUUUCUUAAUGCACUUUUCGGUUAACAGGUCAACAUCAAUUUCUUUUGUUGUAAAAGGGUAUGAGGAAGGUGGCUUUCUUUUCGGAGAAAGUGUUUAUAGCCUUGUGCCUCUGCAAUCGGAGAGAUUGAGGUCUGCAGCGUAGAUCCUUCGGGGUUAGAUACGUUUGUGCUAAGUUAUAGCUUUUCAUAGACAACUUGUUGACUAUGUUUAGUCUUGUAGCUUACUCGCUGACGCUAUUUUACCUACGCUUAGGAUGUUGACGCGCGUGUGUGCGU